rnacentral:rRNA from 1 species
GAUUUCUGGCUUGAAACAUUUUGCCGGCCACGGUUUCGUGUGUUAGUGCUUGAUGUUCUGGCCAUCCUUCCAAUCGCUAUUGGCUUGUCUUCAUUGAUUGGUCAGUAGUAUUGGAUCUUUUACUUUGAAAAAAUUAGAGUGUUUAAAGCAGGCUUUUGCUAUGAAUACAUUAGCAUGGAAUAAUAAUCUAGGACUUCGGUUCUAUUUUGUUGGUUUCUAUAACUGAAGUAAUGAUUGAUAGGGAUAGUUGGGGGUGCUAGUAUUCCGCGGCCAGAGGUGAAAUUCUUGGAUUCGUGGAAGACUAACUACUGCGAAAGCAUU